rnacentral:misc_RNA from 1 species
GAUGAAGAACGUAGUGAAAUGCGAUAAUUAAUGUGAAUUGCAGAAUUCAGUGAAUCAUCGAGUCUUUGAACGCACAUUGCGCCCCCUGGUAUUCCGGGGGGCUUGCCUGUCCGAGCGUCAUUGCUGCCCUCAAGCACGGCUUGUGUGUUGGGCUUCCGUCCCUGGCAACGGGGACGGGCCCAAAAGGCAGUGGCGGCACCAUGUCUGGUCCUCGAGCGUAUGGGGCUUUGUCACCCGCUCCCGUAGGUCCAGCUGGCAGCUAGCCUCGCAACCAAUCUUUUUAACCAGGUUGACCUCGGAUCAGGUAGGGAUACCCGCUGAACUUAAGCAUAUCAAUAAGCGGAGGA